UGAUCAGGUCAACUCUGAUGCAUUCAGUG
rnacentral:piRNA from 1 species